UCGGCAGAGAAGAUUCAGCAGCAGGUCAGC
rnacentral:piRNA from 1 species